AGGAUGAACGCUGGCGGCGUGCCUAAUACAUGCAAGUCGAGCGGUAAGGCCUCUUCGGAGGUACACGAGCGGCGGACGGCUGAGUAACACGUAGGAACGUACCCAAAGUGAGGGAUAAGCACCAGAAAUGGUGUCUAAUACCGCAUGUGCUCUAAGGAGUAAAGCUUCGGCGCUUUGGGAACGGCCUGCGCAUGAUUAGCUUGUUGGUGAGGUAAAAGCUCACCAAGGCGACGAUCAUUAGCUGGUCUGAGAGGAUGAUCAGCCAGACUGGGACUGAGAACGGCCCAGACUCCUACGGGAGGCAGCAGUAGGGAAUUUUCCACAAUGGGCGAAAGCCUGAUGGAGCAACGCCGCGUGCAGGAUGAAUGCCUUAGGUUGUAAACUGCUUUUUAUCUGUGACGAAUAUGACGGUAGCAGAUGAAUAAGGAUCGGCUAACUCCGCGCCAGCAGCCGCGGU
rnacentral:rRNA from 1 species